AGAGUUUGAUCCUGGCUCAGAUUGAACGCUGGCGGCAGGCUUAACACAUGCAAGUCGAGCGGGGGAAGGUAGCUUGCUACCGGACCUAGCGGCGGACGGGUGAGUAAUGCUUAGGAAUCUGCCUAUUAGUGGGGGACAACAUCUCGAAAGGGAUGCUAAUACCGCAUACGUCCUACGGGAGAAAGCAGGGGAUCUUCGGACCUUGCGCUAAUAGAUGAGCCUAAGUCGGAUUAGCUAGUUGGUGGGGUAAAGGCCUACCAAGGCGACGAUCUGUAGCGGGUCUGAGAGGAUGAUCCGCCACACUGGGACUGAGACACGGCCCAGACUCCUACGGGAGGCAGCAGUGGGGAAUAUUGGACAAUGGGCGCAAGCCUGAUCCAGCCAUGCCGCGUGUGUGAAGAAGGCCUUAUGGUUGUAAAGCGCACUCUUUUAAGCGCGAGGAGGGGAGGCUACUCCUUAGAAUAUAUAUACCUAGGAGGAUAGUGGACGUUACCUCGCMGGAAUAAGCCACCGGCUAACUUCUGUGCCAGCCAGCCGCGGUAAUACAGGAGGGUGCAAGCGUUAAUCGGAUUUACUGGGCGUAAAGCCGCGCGUAGGCGGCUAAUUAAGUCAAAUGUGAAAUCCCCGAGCUUAACUUGGGAAUUGCAUUCGAUACUGGUUAGCUAGAGUGUGGGAGAGGAUGGUAGAAUUCCAGGUGUAGCGGUGAAAUGCGUAGAGAUCUGGAGGAAUACCGAUGGCGAAGGCAGCCAUCUGGCCUAACACUGACGCUGAGGUGCGAAAGCAUGGGGAGCAAACAGGAUUAGAUACCCUGGUAGUCCAUGCCGUAAACGAUGUCUACUAGCCGUUGGGGCCUUUGAGGCUUUAGUGGCGCAGCUAACGCGAUAAGUAGACCGCCUGGGGAGUACGGUCGCAAGACUAAAACUCAAAUGAAUUGACGGGGGCCCGCACAAGCGGUGGAGCAUGUGGUUUAAUUCGAUGCAACGCGAAGAACCUUACCUGGCCUUGACAUAGUAAGAACUUUCCAGAGAUGGAUUGGUGCCUUCGGGAACUUAMAAUACAGGUGCUGCAUGGCUUGUCGUCAGCUCGUGUCGUGAGAAUGUUUGGGUUWAGUCCCCGCCAACGAAGCGCGCAACCCWUUUCCUUAUUUGCCAGCGAGUAAUGUCGGGAACUUUAAGGAUACUGCCAGUGACAAACUGGAGGAAGGCGGGGACGACGUCAAGUCAUCAUGGCCCUUACGGCCAGGGCUACACACGUGCUACAAUGGUCGGUACAAAGGGUUGCUACACAGCGAUGUGAUGCUAAUCUCAAAAAGCCGAUCGUAGUCCGGAUUGGAGUCUGCAACUCGACUCCAUGAAGUCGGAAUCGCUAGUAAUCGCGGAUCAGAAUGCCGCGGUGAAUACGUUCCCGGGCCUUGUACACACCGCCCGUCACACCAUGGGAGUUUGUUGCACCAGAAGUAGCUAGCCUAACUGCAAAGAGGGCGGUUACCACGGUGUGGCCGAUGACUGGGGUGAAGUCGUAACAAGGUAGCC
rnacentral:rRNA from 1 species